GUGUAUCAAAUGCAGGAGACAGGGGAUGAGAUGCGGGGAGGAGACCCAAGGCAGGAGAAGCGCCUAGCCCUGAUGGUUACCAGCAGAGGACUGAGGAGCGUUAUCAGCACCACUGAAUGCUCCAGAAGUUCAAACAACAACAACAACAAAAACGCAACACGCGAUCAGAGGCGUUUUCUGCCAGUGACCCGCGAACUUUGCCCCCCACCCCUC
rnacentral:lncRNA from 10 species